rnacentral:rRNA from 1 species
UACAGAGGGUGCGAGCGUUGUCCGGAAUCACUGGGCGUAAAGGGCGUGUAGGCGGUUUGUUAAGUCAUGUGUGAAAUCCCUCGGCUCAACCGGGGAACGACGCAUGAAACUGGCAGCUAGAGUACCAAAGAGGGGGGUGGAAUUCCCGGGUGUAGCGGUGAAAUGCGUAGAUAUCGGGAGGAACACCUGUGGCGAAGGCGGCCCC